UGGCUGUGUGCCUCGGGUCGUUCUCCUGUUGGAAGAUGAACCGUCACCCCAGUCUGAGGUCCAGAGCGAUUUGGAGCAUGUUUUCAUUGAGGAUGUCUCUGUACAUCCAUGCUGAGCUCCUUUGACUUUCCCAUUGUAGCGUUUGUAUCCAAUGAGCCCUAUUUAAAUGGCCUCAGAAGUCACCAGCUGUAGUCACUCAUAGUCACUCACAAGAAGUUAAGAGGCCAUGCUAUGAAGCUCAUUUCAUUGACACAACUUUCUAAGUCACCAAAAUUGCUAAUUCAUGUUGCUGUAUGUAUAUUUUUGACCCAGCAGAUUUGUCACUUUCUGUUAAUAAAGUCAUAAAAGAACCAAAUUUCUUCUUCUUUUUUUAUGACAAAGAAGUAUCUGUUCCAAUCACUCUAUCAGAGAAAAAUCUGAGUUGUAGAAAUAACUGGAAACUCAAGAGAGCCAUGACAUUAUGUUCUUUACAAGUGUAUGUGAACUUUUCACCACAUCUGUAAAGUAGAUAUAUAAAUGUGUACGAAGGCACAGCAGAGUUGUGCUAUUUGACGUACAUGUUGUAGAAUACAGGAUCGAAGUGUAUAACAUAAUAUUGUUUUUUUGCAAUGAAUGGACGGUAAAAUCACCGUGUAUUCUACCAUUUCUUUGUAUUUGAUUAUGCGUAAUGGCUACAUUUGUCAUCGUAACAUCUAAACAAUUGGAAUAACACACAUUGCAUAUAUAACUAAGAAUAAACAGUACAAAUACAAGUUUAUUAAAUAAAAUGAUGUAAUAAACAUUUUUUAAUUUACCCUGACUGCACGUCACUGCAUACGGCGUACACCUCUCCCUUCACAAGCAUGAAUGACUUAUUUGUUGUUUAGAUAUUAGGAUAUCGUAUACUAGCUUUUGUUGAUUUCCAAUGGUAUUUAUCUGAUUAGUAUUGUUGAAGGUUGAUAAACCCUGUUAUACUUUAAGGAGCAGUUUUCUGUGUUUCUCUGCAUACGUGUACUGUAGUGAUGGCUGGAAACAUAGCUCUUAAUGAGUGAAUAUCAAUUGUGAGACUUGAUUUAUAAUUUGGUUAUUAGUCCCUUUUUAGGGUGGUGCCCCGUUAUUUAUUUAUUUUGUGAAUUAUCUUAGCGAUUAUUAAUAAUUAAUAAUUCUAUUGAUGUCAAUGAUUUAAUUUCAAACUAGCUAUUAUCAGUCAAUUAAGAUCUGAACAAAAUUAUCUCUGCACAUCACAGUCAGACAAUUAGCAAGAUAUGAUUAGCUUAGCUUGGCACAACAACAAAGUCGGUUAAAAAAAGCAGAUCAAAUUAAUGGAGUUACUUUCUUAUGUGAGAAUUUGCUGUGUCAUAAUUACAUUAAAAAUGUGUUACAAGUUAUCUUUAACUUGUAGGUAACUGAAUACAUUGGUUAUUAAAUUGAGGUGUAUUUCAUUUCAGUGUUGUACACCAGAGACCAGCAUAGAUUAGCAAAUACUUAACACAGAGCUUGUUAGUGUCACGGUUUGGGUUCACGUGUUGUUUUAUUUUGUAGUUCUGCAUCAUGUCUCCCUGGGUCACGUCACUUCCUGCCCUGUCAUUCCCCUGUGAUUGUCUGUCGUGUCAUGAUUGUUUCCACCUGUAUCCAAUCACCUGCACCUCCCUAGGGUAUUUAAGCCAUGUGUGUCUGUUGUCACUUGUCGCGUCAAUGUUGAAUGUAUGGAAGUCCAAGUCCCUGUUCCUGUCUCCGUUUUUGCCCCUUAGCCUUUUUGCUUUUGAACAUUGACUAUUAAAGUCCUUUUUUGUUUUGAAAACUCUGCAUUUGAGUCCUACCUUCCCUGCCAUGCAGCUCCAGUUAGUUACUCAUUACAGCUAGCUUUCAGUUACAUCUAACAUGGACUGGUUAUUAAAUAUAAGCUUAUAUUGUGUAGCAAACUGACAGAUGAAUUACAUCAUUGUCCACCAUCAAGCAUUAAGUAAUGUUUCCCACAGUUAACAGCCAUGAUCAUCAAACAAUCAAAUUAAAACAUGUCUACCAUCUCCUGGAUCACUUACUACCUCAUCGGCGGACCACAGUUUGUCCGACAGGGCCGUGUUUGAUGUGGUCGUCAGUGAAAGCGGAGCCACACAGGAAACUUCCCGGUCUCCCUUCCUAUUUACCUUGUACACCACUGACUUCCAGUACAACUCUGUGUCAUGCCAGUUCCAGAAGUUCUCUGAUAAAUCUGCAGUGGUCGGGUGUAUAAGAGACAGACGGGAGGAGAAAUCACCUGACUAAAGAGAUGGUGGUGGACUUCAGGAGAAAGACGACGUCUCCACAACCAUUGAGAGCUCUGGGUGAGGAUGCUCUCAAUGGAGGGCAUCGUUGGCUCCCAACAAGAGCAUCCUGAACAGGUGGUGAAGAGGAGGACACUGAGAAAACUAUUGUCAAUAUUGGAUAACCCGGUCCACCCUCUCACUCACUCACUGCAGGGAGACGGGAGCACCCUCUCCAACAGGAUGAUCCAGCUCUGCAGUCACAAGGACAGAUACAGGAAAAUAUUCCUGCCAACUGCAAUAAGACUGUACAACAAAUCACCCCUCAAAUCCUCUUUUAAUUGAAUAACCACUGCACUACUGUCUUAAUUCAAUAUUAAUAACAUUGCACUACUGUCUUAAUUUAAUUUUAUUUUAUUUUUUAUUAUUAAUUUUUUAUGGAAACUGAUCCAAGAUGGCGGCGUUGAUGGCUGCCACGGUGCUUCGGUGCGCUUCGUUUUUUGUUGUUAAUUAUGUUUCCUGCUGCGAUUCCCGGAGCUCUUUCACCAGAACUCCAGCGGAGUUACUUCCAACUUUCCUGCUAUCUUCCGUGGAAUUACUGGACAUUCUAGUCAAAGGUGCGCUCACCUUUCGUCACGCGGUGAGAAGCCGUAGGAGAGGAAAACGGGCCGGCGUGGUUCUCGCACUCCGCUGCCAGGCAUCUUUCUCUCCAACGUGAGCUCACUGUGCAACAAACUGGACGAAAUUCAGCUGCUGGUGAGGAGAGACAGACUUUUCUACAUCCUCCGUUUUGUGCUUCAUGGAGACGUGGCUCUGCGGAUCGAUACCGGACUCCGCGCUCCAUGUCCCUGGCGGGCUUCCAGCUGUUCCGAGCGGGCCGCGACACUGAGCUCUCCGGCAAGACAAAGGGUGGAGGAAUCUGCUUUUACUUCAACAACAGUUGGGGCAACGACGUAACGGUGAUCCUAAAACACUGUUCUCCUGAUCUGGAAACUUUCUUCAUCAACUGCAAACCCUUUUAUUCCCCCCGUGAGUUCGCUUCAUUCAUCCUGUGUUUACAUGCCGCCGGCGGACAACGUGCACGAGGCACAGCGGACACUCGCCGACCAGAUACGGCGUGUGGAGCGGACCAACCCGGACUCUUUAGUUAUAGUCCUUGGGUACUUUAACAAAAGGUAAUCUCACCCAUGAACUUCCUAAAUACAUACAGUUUAUUAAAUGCCCCACCAGAGAGGAGAACACUCUGGAUCACUGUUACACCACAGUAAGGGCUUAUCAGCGCCGUCCCUCGUGCUGCACUGGGACACUCUGACCACGUCAUGGUCCAUCUGAUUCCUGCAUACAGGCAGAAACUAAAGCUCUGCAAACCUGUGGUGAGGGAAUUCAAGAAGUGGACCAGUGAGGCGCUGGAUGAUCUUCGGGCGUGCUUUGACUGCACAGACUGGGAUGUUUUCAGGACUGCUACUGACAGUCUGGAUGAGUUCACAGAGGCUGUAACUUCUUACAUCGGCUUCUGUGAGGACAGCUGUGUACCAUCAUGCACCAGGGUGAGUUAACGACAAAGCCUGGUUCACAGCGGAACUCAGAACACUACGCCUGCAGAAGGAUCAGGCAUUUAGGAGCGGGGACAAAGACUUGUACACAGAGUCAAAAUACAAGUUUAGCAAGGCGGUGAGAGAUGCUAAACGACUGUACUCUGAGAAACUCCCACAACAGUUCUCAGCAAGUGACUCUGCUUCGGUUUGGAGAGGCCUCAAACACCUCACAAACUACAAGCCAAAAAAACCCCACUCCAUGACCUCCGCCUGGCAGACAAGCUGAAUGAGUUCUACUGCAGAUUCGAUGUCCUGAUCCCAUCCCCCACAGCUCCACCAACCUGCUGCAGCAACGACCCUCUCUAUUCUGGAGAGACACGUUAACCGGCUCUUUAAAAGACAAAAUCCCUGUAAGGCAGCCGGUCCGAACUCCGUCUCCCCUCACACCCUGAAGCAUUGUGCUGUCUCCAGUGUUCACUGACAUCUUCAACACCUCGCUGGAGACAUGUCACGUACCAGCCUGCUUCAAGGCCUCCACCAUCAUCCCUGUUCCCAAGAAGCCCAGGAUCACAGGACUCAAUGACUACAGGCCUGUCGACCUGACCUCUGUAGUCAUGAAGUCUUUUGAACGGCUAGUCCUGACCCACCUGGAGUCCCUUACCGACCCCCUCCUGCACGCCCUGCAGUUCGCCUACAGAGCCACAGGUCUGGACGAUGCUGUCAACAUGGCCCUCCACUACAUCCUCCAGCAUCUGGACUCUCCAGAAACCUACACCAGGAUCCUGUUUGUGGACUGCUCUGCCUUCAACACCAUCAUCCCAUCUCUGCUGCAGGACAAACUCUCCCAGCUGGAGUCUGACCAUUUGAUUCGUGGUGCAGCCAGAACAACCUGGAGC
ensembl:lncRNA